rnacentral:rRNA from 1 species
UGAAUGAUGAAGGUCUUAGGAUUGUAAAAUUCUUUCAGUGGGGACGAUAAUGACGGUACCCACAGAAGAAGCUCCGGCUAACUUCGUGCCAGCAGCCGCGGUAAUACGAAGGGGGCUAGCGUUGCUCGGAAUUACUGGGCGUAAAGAGUGUGUAGCGGUGUUCUAAGUCUGUUGUGAAAUCUCCCGGCUUAACUGGGAGGGUGCGGCGGAGACUGGGAUGCUAAGUAUGGGAGAG